rnacentral:rRNA from 1 species
AUACGUAGGUGACAAGCGUUAUCCGGAUUUACUGGGCGUAAAGGGCGUGUAGGCGGUCUUGCAAGUCAGAAGUGAAAUUCCUGAGCUCAACUCGGGCGCUGCUUCUGAAACUGCAGGACUUGAGUGCUGGAGGGGAUAGCGGAAUUCCUAGUGGAGCGGUAAAAUGCGCAGAUAUUAGGAAGAACACCGGUGGCGAAGGCGGCUAUCUGGACAGUAACUGACGCUGAGGCGCGAAAGCGUGGAGAGCAAACAGGAUUAGAUGCCCUAGUAGUCCACGCUGUAAACGAUGACAACUAAAUAUUGCCGCGAGGCAGUGUUGAAGCUAACGCAUUAAGUUGUCCGCCUGGGGAGUACGGUCGCAAGACUGAAACUUAAAGGAAUUGACGGGG